UGAAAAGCACUUUGGAAAGAGAGUUAAAGAGACCGCGAAACCGUUAGGAGGGAAACGCAUGCAGCCGAACUGGCCUUCGUCGGGUUCACGGGGCCGCGCGAGUCCUGGUCGAGCCGGAUGUCACCCAUGCGGGGUCGUCUGCUCGGCGGUGGUCUGCGCUCCCCUGCACUCCCGGCGGUGGGGGCCGGCCAAGGACGGUGGUGUCCCCGGCAAAAAGGACGGUCGGGUAGGUGGUGCAGCCGGCCCUCUCGGGUCGGAGGCGAGCUUAGAGCCGUCCGUUCGGCAGGUCGCGGGUCCACCGAGGAGAGUGGUGGCUUGUUUCACCCCGGCAGCGCAGGCCUCGCUUCAGGGGGGGGCCGGAGCGCUUCUGUCCGUUCAGCCUCCGCGCCGAGGGACUGCUCGCAGUGCCCGGUGUCGGUGUGCGGGUCCGGGCGGGAGGUCGCCUCACGCCUUGCGCUGCGGUGGCUU
rnacentral:rRNA from 1 species